rnacentral:rRNA from 1 species
UACGUAGGGUGCAAGCGUUGUCCGGAAUUAUUGGGCGUAAAGAGCUCGUAGGUGGUUUGUCGCGUUGUUCGUGAAAACUCACAGCUUAACUGUGGGCGUGCGGCGAUACGGGCAGACUGGAGUACUGCAGGGGAGACUGGAAUUCCUGGUGUAGCGGUGGAAUGCGCAGAUAUCAGGAGGAACACCGGUGGCGAAGGCGGGUCUCUGGGCCGUAACUGACGCUGAGGAGCGAAAGCAUGGGGAGCGAGCAGG